AGCUAGCUUUGGUAGUACAAUAUUAAAAUUAGAAUGAUACAUAGAUUAGCAAGACCUCUAUAUAAGGAUGACAUCAACAUCUGUGAAGUGUUUCACAUUUUU